AUGAGGAAAGAGUUAUUUAUUGGACUAAGUAUUAGCAGUGUGAGGAUAGAUAAGCUUAUAUUUGGAAGUGGGACUACUCUCACAGUUGAACCAAACAAUCAAAAUAGUUCUGACUCAGAAGUCAUUGUGAUGAAAUCAAAGAAACUGGAAGAAGAUGGCAGCACUGGGAAAGCAGUUUGUUUGGCAAGGAAUUUUUAUACAAAGAACGUCAUCUUGGAGAUGUCCUCUGAGGAGGGCAUAUAUGAACAGAGUACAGUCGUAUAUGAACAGAGUACCCCUAUUUUGACAUCAGAGGGGUUGUACAACACUAUUAAGGUGGUCAAUGUGACAAAAGGCACAGAAGUGACCUGCAUGGCCAAAUUCGACGGAAGGACUAUUACAGCCAACACAACAUUGCCAGAAAAGAAGGCUGAAGGACCAGUAACAGGGAAGGUCUGCAACACCACAGACACGGCUGCACAAGAUACCAAAGUGGAGAAAGCAAACAUGCUGUCUAUGGCUGUCUUGGGUUUGAGAGUUCUGCUGGCAAAAAGUAUCGCCUUCAAUACACUCAUGAGUAUCAAGUUGUUUCUUUUCUGAGGCAGUGGGGAAGCAAGGCAACAGCAAUCUGAAGAACAGCAGGAGAGAGCAUGUACCAGCAGCACAAUGGGUUGAACAGCCUAUGUCAAAUCCGCUGACAAUAACCAUCCAGAACACAACACAGCACCUUCCCCUUAAGACAUUUUACACUGUUGAAUCCUGCCUAGCUAGUUUAUGUAGUAAGAGUUGUAACUGCUUUUGCUAUUUCUUUUUCUCUGUGAGCUGAGGAGAGUGUAUUUUUCCUCAUCCCCCUGCUAAGUAGAAAUUGAUCUCCCCACUCUUCUAGCCUUUGCAUAGAAACAUCCAACCUGCUUCAAUAGUUCCAAAAAAUCCAAACCUCACUAUAGAUAUAUGACCCUUUUAAAACACCUUUAACAGGCAUAUUGCAUUACUGUCUGUAGAACUGAUGUAUUACUGCUUAGAAAAUUCAGGCAUGGUAGAUGCUAUUUAUAGCUUUAAUGUUUUUUAGAUAGCUUUAAUAACAAUAAUUUUCUAGUGUAGUUGAGAAAACCUGUGUUGGAUCAGAAGUGAUUCACUUCAACCAGAUCAUGUUCAACUAUAGAGACAUUUUUAUUUGCAUUUCUUUAAUAAACCUGUAUUUCUUCUGCAAAGUGUAUGGCACCUGCAUUUGAGGUUACUGUAGUAGUGACCAAAAUAAAGUUUUACUAAGCCA